CAUACCCAGAAAUGAUGUUUUACCAGCUAUCUGGCUCAGAGUAAAAUGCAUCUUCCACUUAAGAGACAGACACUUUUGUGACUUUGUCAAGAACCUUAGCCCUGCCCAGCCUCAGCUGCCUUACUUGUAAAAUACAGCUUGAAAAAGCUGCCCAAAGGCCAAGGUUAUGACAG